AGCUUUGCUCAGUGCCAGUAUCAGAGCCAAUGAGUUUCAUCUGAGAUGAGAUUAUUGCUAAUUGAAAACUUUUCCCAAUACCCC
rnacentral:snRNA from 1 species